ACAACACCCACGUAAUCCAAUUUGGUGAGAUUGGAUUCUGUAGCUCAUGACAAAAUACCAAGAUGAGAGGGAGAAAAGGAUGAGAUGAGAGGGGAAGUAGCGGGAGGCAGAAGGUUUUAUGUUGUGCUGUUUGUCUCCAGCAAAGGACAAGUGCUGAGAGAAGCAGAAAAGACAGUCCUGAAAAAAGUGCAUUAUGAAGGUGCAAAAGAAGAUGAGGAUGAAACAAAAAGAGCAACAAAACGACGCUCCAAAUUUUG
ensembl:lncRNA